CUACGGGGGGCAGCAGUGGGGAAUAUUGCGCAAUGGGGGAAACCCUGACGCAGCAACGCCGCGUGAGUGAUGAAGGCUUUCGGGUCGUAAAGCUCUGUCAGGUGGGAAGAACAAGUUGAUUCCCAAUAAGGAUUGACUUUGACGGUACCGCCGGAGGAAGCACCGGCUAACUCCGUGCCAGCAGCCGCGGUAAUACGGAGGGUGCAAGCGUUGUUCGGAAUCAUUGGGCGUAAAGCGCGUGUAGGCGGUUUGGUAAGUCAGGUGGGAAAGCCCUAGGCUCAACCUAGGAAUGUCAUCUGGAACUGCCGGACUUGAGUACGGGAGAGGAGAGUGGAAUUCCCGGUGUAGAGGUGAAAUUCGUAGAUAUCGGGAGGAACACCCGUGGCGAAGGCGACUCUCUGGACCGAUACUGACGCUGAGACGCGAAAGCGUGGGGAGCAAACAGGAUUAGAUACCCGGGUAGUC
rnacentral:rRNA from 1 species